rnacentral:misc_RNA from 1 species
GAUGAAGAACGUAGUAAAAUGCGAUAAGUAAUGUGAAUUGCAGAAUUCAGUGAAUCAUCGAAUCUUUGAACGCACAUUGCGCCCGCCAGUAUUCUGGCGGGCAUGCCUGUUCGAGCGUCAUUUCAACCCUCAAGCCCUCGGGUUUGGUGUUGGGGAUCGGCGAGCCUUUCUGGCAAGCCGGCCCCGAAAUCUAGUGGCGGUCUCGCUGCAGCCUCCAUUGCGUAGUAGUAAAACCCUCGCAACUGGAACGCGGCGCGGCCAAGCCGUUAAACCCCCAACUUCUGAAUGUUGACCUCGGAUCAGGUAGGAAUACCCGCUGAACUUAAGCAUAUCAAUAAGAGGA